GCGCCUCGGCGCACGCCUCCAGCGCAGAGAGAGAGUUGUAGCAGUCGCCGCCACCGCUGCCAACACCGCCGCUACCGCCUCCUCGGUCCCAGACAUGCCGAAGCACGAGUUCUCUGUGGAUAUGACCUGUGAAGGUUGUGCAGAAGCUGUCUCUCGGGUCCUCAACAAGCUGGGAGGGGGCUGAUCCUCUCCUGGCUUCCAGAUCCACCUGGGACUUGGCAGUCCUGUUCAGUCAUGGCGUUUCUGCAAAGACCCUCACCUGCCCUGCUCUUUCCUAGUUUCCCUGCAAUAAAGUCAAGCUACUUUUGUUG